GCCCCCAUAGCUCAGAUGGAUAGAGCACCGGCCUCCGGAGCCGGGUGGGGAGGUUCGAGUCCUCCUGGGGGUACCA
rnacentral:tRNA from 1 species